GCUGUGGCAGCUCAAUGCUUAAGUGCUUGGCUGCCAACCAAAAGGUUGGUGGUUCAAACCUACCCAAUAGCU
rnacentral:tRNA from 1 species